rnacentral:rRNA from 1 species
AUUGAACGCUGGCGGCAUGCCUUACACAUGCAAGUCGAACGGCAGCGGGCCUUCGGGUGCCGGCGAGUGGCGAACGGGUGAGUAAUGCAUCGGAACGUGCCAUUGAGUGGGGGAUAACGUAGCGAAAGUUGCGCUAAUACCGCAUAUUCUGUGAGCAGGAAAGCAGGGGACCGCAAGGCCUUGCGCUCUUUGAGCGGCCGAUGUCAGAUUAGCUAGUUGGUGAGGUAAAGGCUUACCAAGGCGACGAUCUGUAGCGGGUCUGAGAGGAUGAUCCGCCACACUGGAACUGAGACACGGUCCAGACUCCUACGGGAGGCAGCAGUGGGGAAUUUUGGACAAUGGGGGCAACCCUGAUCCAGCCAUGCCGCGUGAGUGAAGAA